GCACAGCAGUGAUGGGGGGUUAUUGCCUUCACCUGAGCACAGGGGCUCUGCCACAGUGAAAACCACAGUGAACAGGUGAAAACAGCCUGACCGGGAGCUGGCGUCCUACCAAUUGCUGAGCAGCAGCAGAAGUCAAAAGGGAGAAGCACAGGUAAUUCCCUUUUCGGCUGGAGCUGGGAACGACUGCAUCCUACCUGUCGGAAAGUUUCUGCACAGCAAGGCAGGAAGAGGACUGAGCAGCUGUGAGAGAGCCCAGAGUUUAUCCUGGGGGCUGGGAGCUCCUGCAGCAGCAGCAGCCGCCCGCCUGCUCUCCUCAGUUCGGUGCAUCUCAAAGGACAGCUGGCUUCUGAGAGGAGGAGGACUGACGUGCCCCUGAAACCCACAGCACACCUGGCACACCACCCAGAACAGGCAGAGACCUUGCAAAAAACAAGCAGGUACCAGCUGGAGAUGCUGUUGGACCCGUGUGAGUUCCGUGAUUCACCCUCCCCCAGUGCCAAAGCCAGGCCAGCCUGAGGAAGUGCUGCUGACAGCACAGCUGGAAAAGAAGGAAUCAGAUUCAUGGAGAAAGGGUGGAGCACAUCUUUGGGAAGACAAUGCAACUCUUCAAGCUGAGCUCCUGAGAAACCUGAAGUGACUGUACUUGUGCUGCUUCCAGAGGAGGGCCAGAGGAGUGCGGAGACCUGACCCCUCGGAAGGUGCCCAUCCACAGACUGAACCCAAAGCUGUCAUUUAUCAGAGCAUCCCCCAAACUUCCCAGAUGAACUUCCCUCUCUUUGUGAGGAGUCUUCAAAUUCUACAUGAGGUCUGAGCAUGAAUAACUGCAGGAGGUGCAAGCAGUGCUGAUUUACAGAACUGCAUCUCUAAGGAAGGAGCCUUUCCUGUACCUCUCCACUGAAGCCACUUGGACCAAACAGGAGUAGCUGCAGCCUUCACUGGGACACAGCAACUCUGGAACAGCUUUUCAGUGAAGGGCAUGAAUCCCGUGUUCUUUUCCUUGUCCCAAGAUGGUUACACAUGCUCUGCUUGAACCUUGUCUACGGCUCCGCUGUUCAGUGUCAUCAGUACCCUGACCUGGCUGCCAUUCCAAUGAGAGGGGCUUGCCUGCACCCUCUCGCUGGCAGCUCCCAGUUAAGGGGAUUUCCAACGGGGCUCCUUGGCAGUGAGCACGGCACCCACACGUUCUAUUUAUGUCUGUGUACACGUCUGAGAGUGGUUCCUGAGCCAGAGAAGACAUUAUGCUGCCUAAUGUUGUUACCCAAAGGGUGAGAAUAGAGGAUCAGCUGAUUGCAAGAAGAUGAGUAAAACCUACCUGUUUUAGUCCUUC